rnacentral:rRNA from 1 species
CCUACGGGAGGCAGCAGUGAGGAAUAUUGGUCAAUGGGCGCGAGCCUGAACCAGCCAAGUAGCGUGAAGGAUGACUGCCCUACGGGUUGUAAACUUUAUUUAUAAAGGAAUAAAGUGAGGCACGUGUGCCUUUUUGUAUGUCCUUUUUGAUUAAGGAUCGGCUAACUCCGUGCCAGCAGCCGCGGUAAUACGGAGGAUCCGAGCGUUAUCCGGAUUUAUUGGGUUUAAAGGGAGCGUAGAUGGGUUGUUAAGUCAGUUGUGAAAGUUUGCGGCUCAACCGUAAAAUUGCAAUUGAUACUGGCAGCCUUGAGUACAGUUGAGGUAGGCGGAAUUCGUGGUGUAGCGGUGAAAUGCUUAGAUAUCACGAAGAACUCCGAUGGCGAAGGCAGCUUACUAAACUGCCACUGACAUUGAUGCUCGAAAGUGUGGGUAGCAAACAGGAUUAGAUACCCUGGUAGUC